GGGCCCAUAGCUCAGCCUGGUUAAAGCAACCGCCUCAUAAGCGGUCUACCGCAGGUUCGAAUCCUGCUGGGCCCACCA
rnacentral:tRNA from 1 species